CGCAAGAGAACCGGAACACAGGUGCUGCAUGGCUGUCGUCAGCUCGUGUCGUGAGAUGUUGGGUUAAGUCCCGCAACGAGCGCAACCCUUGUCAUUAGUUGCUACGAAAGGGCACUCUAAUGAGACUGCCGGUGACAAACCGGAGGAAGGUGGGGAUGACGUCAAGUCCUCAUGGCCCUUAUGGGUAGGGCUUCACACGUCAUACAAUGGUCGGGACAGAGGGUCGCCAACCCGCGAGGGGGAGCCAAUCCCAGAAACCCGAUCGUAGUCCGGAUCGCAGUCUGCAACUCGACUGCGUGAAGUCGGAAUCGCUAGUAAUCGCGGAUCAGCAUGUCGCGGUGA
rnacentral:rRNA from 1 species